AGUAAUGCCUAGGAAUCUGCCUGGUAGUGGGGGACGAACGUUUCGAAAGGAACGCUAAUACCGCAUACGUCCUACGGGAGAAAGCAGGGACCUUCGGGCCUUGCGCUAUCAGAUGAGCCUAGGUCGGAUUAGCUAGUUGGUGAGGUAAUGGCUCACCAAGGCGACGAUCCGUAACUGGUCUGAGAGGAUGAUCAGUCACACUUGAACUGAGACACGGUCCAGACUCCUACGGGAGGCAGCAGCA
rnacentral:rRNA from 1 species